rnacentral:rRNA from 1 species
AUUGAACGCUGGCGGCAUGCCUUACACAUGCAAGUCGAACGGCAGCACGGGAGCUUGCUCCUGGUGGCGAGUGGCGAACGGGUGAGUAAUACAUCGGAACGUACCCUGAAGUGGGGGAUAACGUAGCGAAAGUUACGCUAAUACCGCAUAUUCUGUGAGCAGGAAAGAGGGGGAUCGCAAGACCUCUUGCUUUAGGAGCGGCCGAUGUCGGAUUAGCUAGUUGGUGAGGUAAAGGCUCACCAAGGCGACGAUCCGUAGCGGGUCUGAGAGGACGACCAGCCACACUGGGACUGAGACACGGUCCAGACUCCUACGGGAGGCAGCAGUGGGGAAUUUUGGACAAUGGGCGCAAGCCUGAUCCAGCCGUGCCGCGUGAGUGAAGAAGGCCUCGG